rnacentral:sRNA from 1 species
ACAAUGUCAAAACCGAUUAAAGACAAGGUUGCACGGUCGUUGCAAAGAAGCCCAGAGGGCUUUGUGAAGCUAGUAAACCUAUGAUACCUAGAUGCUCCUUUCUACCAGCGGCCCGCUCAUUGCGACAGGUUCUCGCGGAGUUUUAAUACAUUUGGAAGAAAUACGUUAUGCAGGUCGCGACUACUUUGAGCUGCUUCCGCGAGACUUGGUUGCCAUCCAGUCACCCUAUUGAGAUGGGCUCUGUCAAGGAGUCUUCAAUGCCCACAUUUGCACAAAUAUUAGUACCUUCCAGUUAGGGUUACCGUAUGGUUUCCGGAGCGCGGUAUCUGGACUGGUACUCUGGAAUCACGCAUCCAUGGACAAGUUCUUGCUUGGAGUAGGUUUAAGGGUGGUCUGUAGAUAGAGGAAAUCUUCAAUAUUAAUAGCAUGCAACACUGGGACCGUAGAAUGAAAGCAGCCCGCAAUCGAGAUGAGACCUGUAUGACCCUCAUUUAAUAUCGACAAGCCGCCUUGCUUUUAGAUUAUUGGGUACCUUAGUAGUGUCGGGCCUACUGUGGAGUUGCGACAGUGCUUUUGGCUUCAACUGAC